CCUACGGGAGGCAGCAGUGAGGAAUAUUGGUCAAUGGACGAGAGUCUGAACCAGCCAAGUAGCGUGAAGGAUGACUGCUCUAUGGGUUGUAAACUUCUUUUAUAUGGGAAUAAAAUGUUCCACGUGUGGGAUUUUGUAUGUACCAUAUGAAUAAGGAUCGGCUAACUCCGUGCCAGCAGCCGUGGUAAUCCGGAGGCUCCGAGCGUUAUCCGGAUUUAUUGGGUUUAAAGGGCGCGUAGGUGGAUUGUUAAGUCAGUUGUGAAAGUUGGCGGCUCAACCGUAAAAUGGCAGUUGAAACUGGCAGACUUGAGGACAGUAGAGGUAGGCGGAAUUCGUGGUGUAGCAGUGAAAUGCUUAGAUAUCACGAAGAACUCCGGUUGCGAAGGCAGUUCACUGGACUUCAACUGACACUGAGGCACGAAAGUGUGGGUAUCAAACAGGAUUAGAUACCCCUGUAGUC
rnacentral:rRNA from 1 species